rnacentral:rRNA from 1 species
AGGGAAUUUUCCACAAUGGACGAAAGUCUGAUGGAGCAACGCCGCGUGAACGAUGAAGGUCUUCGGAUUGUAAAGUUCUGUUGUCAGGGACGAACAAGUACCGUUCAAACAGGGCGGUACCUUGACGGUACCUGACGAGAAAGCCACGGCUAACUACGUGCCAGCAGCCGCGGUAAUACGUAGGUGGCAAGCGUUGUCCGGAUUUAUUGGGCGUAAAGCGCGCGCAGGCGGCUUUGUAAGUCUGGUGUUAAAGCCCGGGGCUCAACCCCGGUUCGCAUCGGAAACUGCAGAGCUUGAGUGCAGAAGAGGAAAGCGGUAUUCCACGUGUAGCGGUGAAAUGCGUAGAGAUGUGGAGGAACACCAGUGGCGAAGGCGGCUUUCUGGUCUGUAACUGACGCUGAGGCGCGAAAGCGUGGGGAGCAAAC